rnacentral:rRNA from 1 species
UACGUAGGGGGCAAGCGUUGUCCGGAAUCAUUGGGCGUAAAGCGCGUGUAGGCGGCUUGGUAAGUCCGCUCUGAAAGCCCGGGGCUCAACCCCGGGAGGCGGGUGGAUACUGUCAAGCUCGAGUCCGGAAGAGGCGAGUGGAAUUCCUGGUGUAGCGGUGAAAUGCGCAGAUAUCAGGAGGAACACCAAUGGCGAAGGCAGCUCGCUGGGACGUGACUGACGCUGAGAGACGAAAGCUAGGGGAGCGAAUGGG